CUUAACCUGCGUCACAAACAACGCAGCAGCCAAGAACAUUUGUGAAGAGUAUUUUUUUUUCCACAUAUACUCUUCACCUUGACUGAAGUUAUAUUUCAUAUUUGGCAAUGCAGGACAGUGAAGUAACAAUAGAUAAGCUGAAACAGCCUCUUCCCCUCCUAUCACCAAUGAUCGAUGUUGUGGUGAUAAUAGACUAAUAUUUUAUCAGAGAAAAGAUGUUGUAAUUUGGGAGUGUUUCAAGAAAAGUCUGUAUAUAUAUCACCUGGGAAGAGUGAAGACGCAGACAGCGACUGCUUAGACUUCUACUACUUUAUUGAGUAUCCAGCAGCAUCAGUGCUUUUCAUCAGAAUAACUUUACUGUAACAUUCAAAUAAGAACAUGGCCAAGGCUGCAGUCAGGAUGCCGUCCCACCCACCAACAGAUCUGUUGAUGGGAUCCCGCCCAACAGGGGAACGGUUCAUGGGAACGCGCCCAAGGGAAUUGUGGAUUCAGCUGGAAUCCGUGACCUGAAGCCAGGGUCCAUCCUUCAGAACGCCAAAAGCCAGACAGUAGUCGGGUGCAGUGCCAAAGUAUCCAAAGAUAUAAAUGACUACAUUAUACAAGCAGUAAAACCAGGGGCGAGCGCCACUGUUAAAGUUACUAAGGCAGCCCAGGCAGGUACAAAUCUAUACACAAACCUUUCCACGUCUUUUGAGGCUCUCAGGGAUAAAUUGAAAGAACGUCGUAUAGACUUGCUAAAAGAUGUACAACAGAACCGAAGGUCUACCCGGGGAGAACACGUUUUCAACAAUGCCCUGCUUGGGUUAUAUGGGUCGAUAAUUGAUUUGUUCAUUGAAAGGCACGUCACAAACGGUAACAGAGUGACAGAGUUUUUUUUAAAUCAAACUCUUUAAGCUUGUAAGUAGCCUACAGAUGUUGCAUUGCUUUAUCAUUAGUAGUGUAGGGACUACAACUUCCACAUUCCCACAGGAAAAUUCUGCGACGUCCACCACGAAUGACGUCUAACUUGGUUCAGCCAAUCCCGUAAUGGCGGGAGCAAUAAACGGUCCCGUAUAAGAGCAAGACACGUUCUUGGGAUCUCUCUUCUGCUUUUUCUGCUUCUUCUGCUUCUUCUGCUUCUUCUCUUCGACGCACCCUUUUUUGCCAUUCGCUUCAGCUCAUCUGCUCCGAGACUCGGACAGAGGCUGAAGGCUGCACAGCGCACUACCAGGCCUACGGACACACCCAGUUACCUCGCGGUAACUACGUGGCCUAUAGUGAGUGGAAAUUGUUGUACGCGGAACGCUACAUCAGUUUACCCCAAUAAAGCUCAACAACGAAACAGCAACAAACUUUUACACCUGGAAAAGGACCAGCGGAUCAGACGACAACGCGCUGCUAAGACGGGAACACCCCAGCCUGCGCAUCUCUCCCGGACACCAUUCACAGCACCAUCGCCGCUUCUACAAGGACAGCAUGUCUUUUGGAUCCAGCAAUGCGUAUGGACUCAGUAAGAAAACAAACAUUCAGGCAUAGCCAGUGUUUAGUUUAGUCUUAACUGUUUUUGUGAAUCUGUGUUUCAAUAUUUACCAUCCAACCAUUGUAAUGCGUUUGGUUAGCUACAUAUAUAUGUACGUGAAUUGAUUCGCCGUCUUUUGCGCAUAUAUAGAGUAAAACUAUGCAAGUAGUCCCUUCUCACAGCUAACUCUAACUCAUUACCACACCCAGAACUCUAGCUUACUCAAGCUAGCUACUCCCACCUUUCCUUUGUUCAAGCGACACGCGCGCUUGCUCGCGCCCACAUACACGCACACACACACCCUAACUUCCCCUACUAAUCCCCGUUAGUUUAUCUGUUCUGUGUUUAAUAAAUAAAUAAAUAUAUUUUAUUGAACCCCGGUGUCAGUUUUGGAAUCGCAUAGACAUGAGAGCCGAGUUAAAGCAGUCUUUCGAAGAACUUCCAACCUUCAGGUUAUCGGUAUGUUCAAUCAUUAAUAUUGGUUAUUUUAAUUAAUUAAAAUACUAAAUUUGUGGUUGGAUAUUUCUGAUAACAGUAAUUUUAUGAGACUGAUUACUUUUUGCAGUUAUACUGCAACACAACGUUUAACUGGCGCCCCGGUUUCGUAGAGAAUAAAAUCCCUGCGUUAUUUGGCGGCCCGUGCGAGGACCCUACAUAAUUUGGAGUCCCGUGCGAGGACCCCUACAGUAGUAGUAGUAGUAGUAGAAGUAGUAGUAAACACCGUGAGUGAAGAUUUAUUUAUUUAUUUUCCAAAACUUAGUUUAAGUUUCAUUUUAAUUUUUAGAUUUUCAAUGUUUUAUAGAAGACAGUGCAACUGUGUCCUUUUAUACUUUUUAAGGUAAUGCAUUUCCUCCUUUCUCAAAAUGCGCGAAAAUGAAGGGGUUUUAUUUUAUCCCGAAAUAUUUUAUUUCGAAAUGUA